AACGCUGGCGGCGUGCCUAACACAUGCAAGUCAACUUGACUGAAGGAGCAAUCUGACAGUAGAGUGGCGCAAGGGUGCGUAACGCGUAAGUAACUUGCCCCAAGGUAAGGAAUAACGUCGAGAAAUCGGCGCUAAUACCUCAUAAUGCAGCGGAUCCGCAUGGAUAUGUUGUUAAAGGUUUACCGCCUUGGGAUAGGCUUGCGUCUGAUUAGUUAGUUGGUGUGGUAACGGCACACCAAGGCUACGAUCAGUAACUGGUCUGAGAGGAUGAUCAGUCACACUGGAACUGAGACACGGUCCAGACUCCUACGGGAGGCAGCAGUGAGGAAUAUUGGGCAAUGCUCGAAAGAGUGACCCAGCAACGCCGCGUGGAGGAUGAAGGUAUUCUAUAUCGUAAACUCCUGUGAGAGCAGACGAAAGACAGAUUAUUAAUCUGGAUGACUGUAUGCUCAGAGGAAGCCCCGGCUAACUACGUG
rnacentral:rRNA from 1 species